CUUGCUCACCCUUAUAAGUUCUGAAGUGUAAAACAGGACAUCUUCCUCAAGUUCAGCUUAAACACAAACCAUGUUCUCUAUAGCUGUACUGCUGCUGCUCCUGGCUGCUGGCUCUGGUGUGAAAUGUGAACAGCUUUCUCAGCCCGAGUCUCUGACUGUCCGACCUGGUCAACCUCUGACCAUCCGCUGUCAGGUCUCUUAUUCUGUUAGUAGCCACUACACAGCUUGGAUCAGACAACCUGAAGGACACACACUGGAAUGGAUUGGACAGAUUUAUACUGGGAACAAAUUAAUGAAAGACUCCCUUAGUAGUAAAUUCAGUCUCACCCUUGACGUGGCCAGUAAAACAAUUACUUUGCAAGGGCAGAACAUGCAGCCAGGAGACUCAGCUGUGUAUUACUGUGCCAGAGAGACACAGCAUUACAAACUGUUGUAAAGGAUGAACAAAAACCCUUCACCCGUGAGGUGUUAUUACUUGAAUCCUCCAUAGGGGGAGCUCUAAACCAAACACAUCAUUCAAAAUAGAUUAUUUAACGAUUGCCAAAUUAUUCUACACAGCUGGACUUGGAAAUAAAGCAUCAGCCAGACAUAUAUAAUUUUAUCACAAGACAGAACACAUAUAACACCUUAUUAUUAGACACAUAACAUAUCUUAAAAGACUUCAAAUUUAGACCUUAAAAUGAAAUGUUAAGGUCUAAAAGGACAGAAGGCCUGACGUUAUUAAUAAAAAAAAGAGUUAGGCCUAAAAACAUCAUGAUCCAUACAAGACUUACAUCAUACACACAAUAACACGAAAUGUUGACCUCAAAACAGCCUUUAUUCUCAAAUUA